rnacentral:rRNA from 1 species
GUCCGUACCGCAAACCGACUCAGGUGGGCGGGGUGAAUAUCCCAAGGCGCGUGAGAGAACCCUGGUUAAGGAACUCGGCAAAAUGACCCCGUAACUUCGGGAGAAGGUGUGCCAGUUUGCGUGAAGAGCUUCGCGCUCGGAGCGUGGGCUGGUUGCAGAGAAAUGGGGGUUGUGACUGUUUACUAAAAACACAGGACUCUGCAAAGUCGUAAGACGACGUAUAGGGUCUGAUGCCUGCCCGGUGCUGGAAGGUUAAGGGGACGAGUCAGCGUAAGCGAAGCUCCGAACCGAAGCCCCAGUAAACGGCGGCCGUAACAAUAACGGUCCUAAGGUAGCGAAAUUCCUUGUCGGGUAAGUUCCGACCUGCACGAAGGGCAUAACAACAUCCCCGCUGUCUCGACCAGGGACUCAGCGAAAUUGUAUCGGGGGUGAAGAUACCCUCUACCCGCGGCAAGACGGAAAGACCCCAUGAACCUUUACUGCAACUUGGCAGUGAUUUUCGGGAUGUUCUGCGUAGGAUAGGUGGGAGGCUAUGAGGCCGGGCUUCUGGGUUCGGCGGAGCCAACGUUGAAAUACCACCCUGGACUUUCUGGAAAUCUAACCUAGGCCCGUGAUCCGGGUCAGGGACACUGCCUGGUGGGCAGUUUGACUGGGGCGGUCGCCUCCUAAAAAGUAACGGAGGCGUGCGAAGGUUCCCUCAGCCUGAUUGGAAACCAGGCGUAGAGUGCAAACGCACAAGGGAGCUUAACUGUGAGACCGACAGGUCGAACAGGUGCGAAAGCAGGCGUUAGUGAUCCGGUGGUUCUGCAUGGAAGGGCCAUCGCUUAUCGGAUAAAAGGUACUCUGGGAUAACAGGCUGAUCGCGCCUGAGAGUUCACAUCGGCGGCGCGGUUUGGCACCUCGAUGUCGGCCCAUCGCAUCCUGGGGCUGGAGCAGGUCCCAAGGGUUCGGCUGUUCGCCGAUUAAAGCGGUACGCGAGCUGGGUUUAAAACGUCGUGAGACAGUUUGGUCCCUAUCUGCCGUGGGCGUAGGACACUUGAGAGGAGCUGCCCAUAGUACGAGAGGACCUGGGUGGACGUACCUCUGGUGUUCCGGUUGUCCUGCCAAGGGCAUAGCCGGGUAGCCAUGUACGGAACGGAUAACCGCUGAAAGCAUCUAAGCGGGAAGCCGGCCUCAAGACUAGGUGUCCCGAGUCGCAAGACUCCUAAAGACCCCUCGUAGACCACGAGGUUGAUAGGCCGGGUGUGGAAUCCGAGCAAUCGGAGGAGCUAACCGGUACUAAUAGGUCGUGCGGCUUGGCCCU